ensembl:snRNA U6 U6 spliceosomal RNA
GUGCUCACUUCGGCAGCACAAGUACUAUAAUUGAAUGAUACAGAGAAGAUUAGUAUGGCCCCUGCACAAGGAUGAUACGCAAAUUCGUGACGUGUUCCAUAUUUUU